rnacentral:rRNA from 1 species
CGGCCUUCGGGUUGUAAACCUCUUUCAGCAGGGACGAAGCGCAAGUGACGGUACCUGCAGAAGAAGCACCGGCCAACUACGUGCCAGCAGCCGCGGUAAUACGUAGGGUGCGAGCGUUGUCCGGAAUUAUUGGGCGUAAAGGGCUCGUAGGCGGUCUGUUGCGUCGGGAGUGAAAACUCAGGGCUUAACCCUGAGCCUGCUUCCGAUACGGGCAGACUAGAGGUAUGCAGGGGAGAACGGAAUUCCUGGUGUAGCGGUGAAAUGCGCAGAUAUCAGGAGGAACACCGGUGGCGAAGGCGGUUCUCUGGGCAUUACCUGACGCUGAGGAGCGAAAGUGUGGGGAGCGAACAGGAUUAGAUACCCUGGUAGUCCACACCGUAAACGUUGGGCGCUAGGUGUGGGACUCAUUCCACGAGUUCCGUGCCGCAGCUAACGCAUUAAGCGCCCCGCCUGGGGAGUACGGCCGCAAGGCUAAAACUCAAAGGAAUUGACGGAAUCACUA